rnacentral:lncRNA from 1 species
CUAUUUCAAUUUAAACUUUAGUUCAUUAAACUGAAAUAACAUUUAAAAUUCAGCUCUGCAGUCAUGCUAACCACAUAUAUCAAGUGCUCAAAAGCCACAUGUGGUUAGUGACUACCAUAUUGGGCAGCACAGAUAUAAAACAUUUGUAUCAUCAUAGAAAGUUAUAUUUUCCAGUAUAUAAGACUAACUACUAAAAAAGGGAAAGGGAGUAGAAAAAAAUGGUCUUUAAAAAAAAAAAGAGGUCCAAAACCUAAGCAUCCACUGUAUACCUCUCUUGCAGCUUCCUGGAGCCUCAUUCAAACACAAUAAACAUUCAGUUGACUUGUUAUGAGACUCUAGGACUAAAUAACCAAUGUUGUUCCAUUAAAAGAUAGUAGCAGUACAUGAGCCAUGUCUUAUUAUUUUUGUAAUUAUUAUAAAUUUUUAAAUAAACUGAGAGCAACCCUUUUUGCAAAAGAUUGGUUGAUGGCCUCCUGUUUAUUCUGGGAAUCUGUUCUCCUGAUUUCUGGUGGGAUGAUUUUAGAUCUUGCUGGAAAGGAAUAGGAAAACAUCCUACUUCCCACUUCAAGCACUUUUAGGAUAUAUUUAUUUAUGAUCCUUAUUCUUUCCAUAAAUGUUCAACAUAGAUUGAAUGAUUUUUCUUAUUUUAGGAAUUUUCUUAGCAUAAGCAUUUGCUAAGGACCACCCCAAAUUUGGAUGUUAUUAUGGAACAGUAGAGAUUAUCUUAGUCAAGGCAAAGCAAGUAAUGAAAACCA